CUCUUUUUGCCUGCCGCCAUCCGCGUAAGAUGUGAUUUGCCUCUCCUUGCCUUCUGCCAUGAUUGUGAGGCCUCCCCAGCCACGUGACACUCAGGACAGUGCAUGAGAUUAUAUAAAGACUCAGAGCAGAGACACAGCUCCUCCUGCACCAGAGAAAUGCAGCUCCGUGAGCCCCGAUGGAGCCAACAUGCUGCUGGGUGCUGAGGAACAAGCAGUGGCACCCAGGAUGGUGGUCUCCAGGGAGAACGGGCACAGAACAACGCAUGAGAGGCUGCCUGACUUACGGCCAGGAUCGGUCACUCAGCCAGCAAAAACACUGGAAGAAAACGAAACAACCUCAGACUGUCUGCUGCUUUUCCGUAAUAUAUCUGCCCAAAGACUGGACGACAAAGGAAAAGGAGGCUGAUGAGGAAACGAAAGGAUCCAUGGUUCUUGGCUUGCUGGGUGUCUCAUCAACAAAGCCCCAGCAUCACUCCUGGCAGAUGCCCUAGCUUGGCCCGGGCUGGGAUGGGCAAAAUUCACUGUGGGACUCUUGUUCGAGAGAGGGAGAUCAGAGCUGGAAACACUUACCCAGAAUGGCCAUGCAGACUAAAAUUCCAAUUCUAAAAAUACUUCUAAAAUCUAAUGUACAACAAAGGAAAGCUGGAAAAAUAUUUUAAAAAGGAUGAAAGGGCAAGAAAAAUUCAACCUGCAACCUCAAGGCGAUUAUAAUCUGUGUUCUGCUGCUUCUCAGAGCCACUUCAGUCUUCAGCUUAGAGUCUACCAAACACUAAAAUGCAACUGAAUACUCAGUUCAUACUUGUUUUUCUAAUUAGCUGCCUCUUCCAUUUGAUUAAUAUUGCCUCCUAAUUUAAUUGUAAAUUGUAUUUCUGGUUUAUAUUUUGCUUCUCCCUCCUGUUGUACCUGGUGACCAUCUUCAUUAAUCAUAUUGUAGCUUUUUAAUGAAUCUCAUAUGCCAAUUUAUUGUGAACAAGACUUGAUAUGAAGGCAUCUUCAUCAAAUCAUUCAUAAUCUUGUAACUAUUGGUUUAUUUUCUGUAACUACCUAUAAAUGUACACCAAAAAAAUGAAAGAUUUCCCCUAAAAUGUAAUGAGGCAGAACUAAGUUUACACAGAUUUCUGAGGAUGGGUUGAGACGCCAAAUUCCGCUUAUGUUUGGAAUUUCUAUUUCACUGGGCUUAGUGAGGGCGCCCAUGUUUUGCAAUCCUGUGCUCUAGAAACUAUCAUAAACAGAUUCUUCUAAUUGUUUGACAUUAAACUGCAAAUUUGUGUUUUUGUGUCUGCUCAAAUAUAAAAUGUCUUUGGGAAAAA